rnacentral:rRNA from 1 species
CCUACGGGUGGCAGCAGUGGGGAAUAUUGCACAAUGGGCGCAAGCCUGAUGCAGCCAUGCCGCGUGUGUGAAGAAGGCCUUCGGGUUGUAAAGCACUUUCAGCGGGGAGGAAGGCGUUAAGGUUAAUAACCUUGUCGAUUGACGUUACCCGCAGAAGAAGCACCGGCUAACUCCGUGCCAGCAGCCGCGGUAAUACGGAGGGUGCAAGCGUUAAUCGGAAUUACUGGGCGUAAAGCGCACGCAGGCGGUCUGUCAAGUCGGAUGUGAAAUCCCCGGGCUCAACCUGGGAACUGCAUUCGAAACUGGCAGGCUAGGGUCUUGUAGAGGGGGGUAGAAUUCCAGGUGUAGCGGUGAAAUGCGUAGAGAUCUGGAGGAGUACCGGUGGCGAAGGCGGCCCCCUGGACAAAGACUGACGCUCAGGUGCGAAAGCGUGGGGAGCAAACAGGAUUAGAUACCCGGGUAGUC